CUGCCAAGGCAUUUUUUUUCAGGGCUGUUCCUUUUUUAUGGUUUUGAGUGUUUUACCUGUCCCUCUUGUUCUUUACUGCAUUCUACUUUCCCUCACAAUGUCUGCAUCCUCAUCAUGUUACAGAAGAAUGGGUAAAAAUGUAAAACGUGCCACAGCAAGAGUCAAACAGGCUUGGGAUGACAUGAGUGUUAAUGCCCUCAUACAGCGUGUCAGCUGCAGUGUGCUCCCUGGUGGAUGUGUGCUCUUCCAUGACUGCUAUGCCCAGCCUGUUUAGGAGGGGAAGUGUUUUCCUGCGACCACGCCAGAGGAGAGGAAAAUGCGUUAUUCUGUCACUGCAUGUCACUAAGGUCACAGAGGUAUGCUGCACCUCUGGGCUAACAUGCAUUCCAGUGGCAUGUUUCUGUGAGCUGUGUGGUGCAAAUGUGCAUCAAUGAAAGCAAAAAAAAAAAAAA